CGGCGCACGGGUGCGUAACGCGUAUGCAACCUACCCAUUACAGGGGGAUAACACUGAGAAAUCGGUACUAAUACCCCAUAACAUCCAGGGAGGCAUCUUCUUGGGUUGAAAACUCCGGUGGUAAUGGAUGGGCAUGCGUUGUAUUAGUUAGUUGGUGGGGUAACGGCUCACCAAGACGACGAUACAUAGGGGGACUGAGAGGUUAACCCCCCACAUUGGUACUGAGACACGGACCAAACUCCUACGGGAGGCAGCAGUGAGGAAUAUUGGUCAAUGGACGCAAGUCUGAACCAGCCAUGCCGCGUGCAGGAAGACGGCUCUAUGAGUUGUAAACUGCUUUUGUACGAGGGUAAACGCAGAUACGUGUAUCUGUCUGAAAGUAUCGUACGAAUAAGGAUCGGCUAACUCCGUGCCAGCAGCCGCGGUAAUACGGAGGAUUCAAGCGUUAUCCGGAUUUAUUGGGUUUAAAGGGUGCGUAGGCGGUCGGAUAAGUUAGAGGUGAAAUCCCGGGGCUCAACUUCGGAAUUGCCUCUGAUACUGUUCGGCUAGAGAGUAGUUGCGGUAGGCGGAAUGUAUGGUGUAGCGGUGAAAUGCUUAGAGAUCAUACAGAACACCGAUUGCGAAGGCAGCUUACCAAGCUACUUCUGACGUUGAGGCACGAAAGCGUGGGGAGCAAACAGGAUUAGAUACCCUGGUAGUCCACGCAGUAAACGA
rnacentral:rRNA from 1 species